GACGGAGGAUGCAAGUGUUAUCCGGAAUCACUGGGCGUAAAGCGUCUGUAGGUGGUUUAAUAAGUCAACUGUUAAAUCUUGAGGCUCAACCUCAAAAUCGCAGUCGAAACUAUUAGGCUAGAGUAUAGUAGGGGUAAAGGGAAUUUCCAGUGGAGCGGUGAAAUGCGUAGAGAUUGGAAAGAACAUCGGUGGCGAAGGCGCUCUACUGGACCACAACUGACACUCAGGGACGAAAGCUAGGGGAGCGAAUGGG
rnacentral:rRNA from 1 species